rnacentral:rRNA from 1 species
AUUGAACGCUGGCGGCAUGCUUUACACAUGCAAGUCGAACGGUAACAGGGAGCUUGCUCCGCUGACGAGUGGCGAACGGGUGAGUAAUAUAUCGGAACGUACCCAGAAGUGGGGGAUAACGUAGCGAAAGUUACGCUAAUACCGCAUACGAUCUACGGAUGAAAGUAGGGGACCUUCGGGCCUUAUGCUUUUGGAGCGGCCGAUAUCUGAUUAGCUAGUUGGUGAGGUAAAGGCUCACCAAGGCGACGAUCAGUAGCUGGUCUGAGAGGACGACCAGAGACACUGGAACUGAGACACGGUCCAGACUCCGACGGGAGGCAGCAGUGGGGAAUGUUGGACAAUGGGCGCAAGCCUGAUCCAGCAAUGCCGCGUGAGUGAAGAAGGCCUUCGGGUUGUAAAGCUCUUUUGUCAGGGAAGAAACGGUAGAGGCUAAUAUCCUUUGCUAAUGACGGUACCUAAAGAAUAAGCACCGGCUAACUACGUGCCAGCCGCCGCCGUAAAAC